UACGGAGGAUGCGAGCGUUAUCCGGAUUUAUUGGGUUUAAAGGGUGCGUAGGCGGGCUUUCAAGUCAGCGGUAAAAAUUCGGGGCUCAACCCCGUCCGGCCGUUGAAACUGGGGGUCUUGAGUGGGCGAGAAGAAGGCGGAAUGCGUGGAGUAGCGGUGAAAUGCAUAGAUAUCACGCAGAACCCCGAUUGCGAAGGCAGCCUUCCGGCGCCCUACUGACGCUGAGGCACGAAAGUGCGGGGAUCGAACAGG
rnacentral:rRNA from 1 species